UAGGUUGCUGCUGCAUCUAAAUUUAGUUCUUUUUAUUUUGAUCGCCACGAGAAUGUCACACCGCCGCUCUAUCGUUAGGCGAAUAACACUUUUAAAAUAAACAUGACCUGAGCCAGUCUGACAAAGUCGUCUGCGCUGUCCAGAGAAACCAAGCGGUCCUAAACAAGCCGUGCAAAAAAGAAACAUGCCGAGCUUGCCGACCCUGACCCUGAUGAAACCAACACAAGCGUGUCUCACCUCCGUGGCCUUGUCAACCUGAUUCCUCAUGCUGAUGAAAGCCUGCAGUUCUCGGUCCGAUUCCCUUCUGCUGGACGACGAGGCACGUUUGUUUGUCCUCGGGCUCGGCUGCGUGAGCCACGGCGGUCUGCUUUCCGGCCGCUGCCUGAAGACAAUCUCCUCCUCUGUGUCGCUACCGCUGGAUCCACUGGACAGCUCCUCUGGUAUCUUGCAAGCUUUGGCGUUGGGCAUCCUGCAAAGAGAGAACGUGUUAAAAGUAACGAGGCUGGCUGGACGAUUUGGAAAUCAUAGACUUACCGCAAAACUGCAUUUUUCUUGCCUCUUUUGUACUUUAGGUAGAAGUGACAGCAGAACAGAGUCAAGCUGGCCCCCAUUUCCGCCAAUGGAUUCUCACUGAAGCUCCUCGAGUGAAGCGUUGACCUUCUUCCUACAGUCCUCCUGAGUAACUCGCAAUGUUUCGAUCCAACUAAUACGUGUGUGUGUGUCAGAGGAUGAAUACAAGUAGUGUCCUGCAUCAUGUCCAAUGAGAGUCAUCUGUCAAUUAAGGUUCGUCCACCACGUGAGUGCAAGGCAGCAGACAACAACGCAGUCAACGCGAAACAGACAGAAUUCCUGCAUGAGGAUCUUUUUUUUUUGCCUGUUGGCAGUUUUUCUACAUAAGCUCGUAUGAUGAAGCGAACUGCUAUCGGCCUCAAAGUUGCUGUAAUGUGGGGGGGGGGGGCGAGUUCCCCCUUGUGCCCCCCAGCCAUCUGUGCCCAUGAACGAAUUAAUAUUAUGACUUCCUUCAACA